rnacentral:rRNA from 1 species
GACGAACGCUGGCGGCGUGCCUAAUACAUGCAAGUCGAACGCUUUUUCUUUCACCGGAGCUUGCUCCACCGAAAGAAAAAGAGUGGCGAACGGGUGAGUAACACGUGGGUAACCUGCCCAUCAGAAGGGGAUAACACUUGGAAACAGGUGCUAAUACCGUAUAACACUAUUUUCCGCAUGGAGGAAAGUUGAAAGGCGCUUUUGCGUCACUGAUGGAUGGACCCGCGGUGCAUUAGCUAGUUGGUGAGGUAACGGCUCACCAAGGCAACGAUGCAUAGCCGACCUGAGAGGGUGAUCGGCCACACUGGGACUGAGACACGGCCCAGACUCCUACGGGAGGCAGCAGUAGGGAAUCUUCGGCAAUGGACGAAAGUCUGACCGAGCAACGCCGCGUGAGUGAAGAAGGUUUUCGGAUCGUAAAACUCUGUUGUUAGAGAAGAACAAGGAUGAGAGUAAAACGUUCAUCCC